rnacentral:rRNA from 1 species
AUUGAACGCUGGCGGCAGGCUUAACACAUGCAAGUCGAGCGGAGAUGAGGUGCUUGCACCUUAUCUUAGCGGCGGACGGGUGAGUAAUGCUUAGGAAUCUGCCAUUUAGUGGGGGACAACAUUCCGAAAGGAAUGCUAAUACCGCAUACGUCCUACGGGAGAAAGCAGGGGAUCUUCGGACCUUGCGCUAAAUGAUGAGCCUAAGUCGGAUUAGCUAGUUGGUGGGGUAAAGGCCUACCAAGGCGACGAUCUGUAGCGGGUCUGAGAGGAUGAUCCGCCACACUGGGACUGGAACACGGCCCAGACUCCUACGGGAGGCAGCAGUGGGGAAUAUUGGACAAUGGGCGGAAGCCUGAUCCAGCCAUGCCGCGUGUGUGAAGAAGGCCUUUUGGUUGUAAAGCACUUUAAGCGAGGAGGAGGCUACUAGUACUAAUACUACUGGAUAGUGGACGUUACUCGCAGAAUAAGCACCGGCUAACUCUGUGCCAGCAGCCGCCGUAACAC